rnacentral:rRNA from 1 species
UUGAACGCUGGCGGCAGGCCUAACACAUGCAAGUCGAGCGGUAGCACAGAGAGCUUGCUCUCGGGUGACGAGCGGCGGACGGGUGAGUAAUGUCUGGGAAACUGCCUGAUGGAGGGGGAUAACUACUGGAAACGGUAGCUAAUACCGCAUAACGUCGCAAGACCAAAGUGGGGGACCUUCGGGCCUCAUGCCAUCAGAUGUGCCCAGAUGGGAUUAGCUGGUAGGUGGGGUAACGGCUCACCUAGGCGACGAUCCCUAGCUGGUCUGAGAGGAUGACCAGCCACACUGGAACUGAGACACGGUCCAGACCCCUACGGGAGGCAGCAGUGGGGAAUAUUGCACAAUGGGCGCAAGCCUGAUGCAGCCAUGCCGCGUGUGUGAAGAAGGCCUUCGGGUUGUAAAGCACUUUCAGCGGGGAGGAAGGCGGUGAGGUUAAUAACCUUGUCGAUUGACGUUACCCGCAGAAGAAGCACCGGCUAACUCCGUGCCAGCAGCCGCGGUAAUACGGAGGGUGCAAGCGUUAAUCGGAAUUACUGGGCGUAAAGCGCACGCAGGCGGUCUGUCAAGUCGGAUGUGAAAUCCCCGGGCUCAACCUGGGAACUGCAUUCGAAACUGGCAGGCUAGAGUCUUGUAGAGGGGGGUAGAAUUCCAGGUGUAGCGGUGAAAUGCGUAGAGAUCUGGAGGAAUACCGGUGGCGAAGGCGGCCCCCUGGACAAAGACUGACGCUCAGGUGCGAAAGCGUGGGGAGCAAACAGGAUUAGAUACCCUGGUAGUCCACGCUGUAAACGAUGUCGAUUUGGAGGUUGUGCCCUUGAGGCGUGGCUUCCGGAGCUAACGCGUUAAAUCGACCGCCUGGGGAGUACGGCCGCAAGGUUAAAACUCAAAUGAAUUGACGGGGGCCCGCACAAGCGGUGGAGCAUGUGGUUUAAUUCGAUGCAACGCGAAGAACCUUACCUGGUCUUGACAUCCACAGAACUUUCCAGAGAUGGAUUGGUGCCUUCGGGAACUGUGAGACAGGUGCUGCAUGGCUGUCGUCAGCUCGUGUUGUGAAAUGUUGGGUUAAGUCCCGCAACGAGCGCAACCCUUAUCCUUUGUUGCCAGCGGUUAGGCCGGGAACUCAAAGGAGACUGCCAGUGAUAAACUGGAGGAAGGUGGGGAUGACGUCAAGUCAUCAUGGCCCUUACGACCAGGGCUACACACGUGCUACAAUGGCAUAUACAAAGAGAAGCGACCUCGCGAGAGCAAGCGGACCUCAUAAAGUAUGUCGUAGUCCGGAUUGGAGUCUGCAACUCGACUCCAUGAAGUCGGAAUCGCUAGUAAUCGUAGAUCAGAAUGCUACGGUGAAUACGUUCCCGGGCCUUGUACACACCGCCCGUCACACCAUGGGAGUGGGUUGCAAAAGAAGUAGGUAGCUUAACCUUCGGGAGGGCGCUUACCACUUUGUGAUUCAUGACUGGGGUG